rnacentral:rRNA from 1 species
UACGUAGGGCGCAAGCGUUGUCCGGAAUUAUUGGGCGUAAAGAGCUCGUAGGCGGCUUGUCACGUCGGAUGUGAAAGCCCGGGGCUUAACCCCGGGUCUGCAUUCGAUACGGGCAGGCUAGAGUGUGGUGGGGGAGACCGGAAUUCCUGGUGUAGCGGUGUAAUGCGCAGAUAUCAGGAGGGACACCGGUGGCGAAGGCGGAUCUCUGGGCCAUUACUGACGCUGAGGAGCGAAAGCGUGGGGAGCGAACAGG